GAUGAACGCUGGCGGCGUGCCUAAUACAUGCAAGUCGAGCGAACGGACGAGAAGCUUGCUUCUCUGAUGUUAGCGGCGGACGGGUGAGUAACACGUGGAGAACCUACCUAUAAGACUGGGAUAACUUCGGGAAACCGGAGCUAAUACCGGAUGAUAUUUUGAACCGCAUGGUUCAAAAGUGAAAGACGGUCUUGCUGUAACUUAUAGAUAGAUCCGCGCUGCAUUAGCUAGUUGGUAAGGUAACGGCUUACCAAGGCAACGAUGCAUAGCCGACCUGAGAGGGUGAUCGGCCACACUGGAACUGGGACACGGUCCAGACUCCUACGGGAGGCAGCAUUAGGGAAUCUUCCGCAAUGGGCGAAGGCCUGACGGAGCAACGCCGCGUGAGUGAUGAAGGUCUUCGGAUCGUAAAACUCUGUUAUUAGGGAAGAAGAUAUGUGUAAGUAACUGUGCACAUCUUGACGGUACCUAAUCAGAAAGCCACGGCUAACUACGUG
rnacentral:rRNA from 1 species